rnacentral:rRNA from 1 species
GCUCUCGCAUCGAUGAAGAACGCAGCGAAUCGCGAUACGUAAUGUGAAUUGCAGAUUUUCAGUGAAUCAUCGAAUCUUUGAAUGCACCUUGCGCUCCUUGGCAUUCCGAGGAGCACGCCUGUCUGAGUGUCGUUUGAAUUCUCGACCGACCCUUCCUUUCGAGGGGACUUCGGCUCGGAUCGUUGGGAGUUCUCUGCCGGACGACGGAGCAAGGGGGGGCGUCGAAGCGUCGGAUUCCUUCCGUCCCUUUGUCGCGCCUUUCCUCUUCGUCUUCGGGCUCUCCUGAAACUCAUGUCCGGGGGGCUGAAGAAGAAGAUCCAAGGGGAUCUUUCGAGGUCGCACAUGUGCCUCUGCUCGUUUGGGUUUGGGUCUCCUCUCCCCGCAGGGCUCGGCGUGAUAGUCUUCGUCGUGUUCCUCCCUCGCGGGGGUCGCAGAGGGUUCUGGAGGCAUGUGGGCGGUCAGACCUCGUGGGCUUCUUCUCUCCCCGUCGCCAGCGCGCCUCGUGCCGCUAUCUUCGAUCUCUGACCUCAGAUCAGGUGGGACCACCCGCUGAACUUAAGCAUAUCAAUAAGCGGAGGAAAAGAAACUAACCAGGAUUCCCCUAGUAACUGCGAGUGAAGCGGGAUGAGCUCAAAUUUUGAAUCUGGCGGCCCUCGUCGGUCGUCCGAGUUGUAAUCUAGAGAAGCGUCUUCCGCGC